rnacentral:rRNA from 1 species
UGCCAGCCGCCGCGGUAAUACGGAGGGUGCAAGCGUUAUCCGGAAUCAUUGGGUUUAAAGGGUGCGUAGGCGGUCUUUUAAGUCAGAGGUGAAAUCCCUACCGCUUAACGGAGGAAUUGCCUUUGAAACUAUUGGACUUGAAAUAGUGUGACGUUGGCGGAAUGAGUAGUGUAGCGGUGAAAUGCAUAGAUAUUACUCAGAACACCGAUUGCGAAGGCAGCUUACUAAGCUACGAUUGACGCUGAGGCGCGAAAGCGUGGGGAGCAAACAGGAUUAGAUA